ACUAAGGCUUGCGGCAUGCCUAACACAUUCAAGUCGAACGAGACCUUCGGGUCUAGUUGCUCACGGGUUCGUGACUCGUGGGAACCUGCCCUUAGGUUCGGAAUAACUCCCCGGAAGGGGUGCUAAUACCGGAUAAUGUCUUCGGACCAAAGAUUUAUCGCCUUUGGAUGGGCCCGCGUUGUAUUAGCUAGUUGGUAGGGUAAAAGCCUACCAAGGCUACGAUCCAUAGCUGGUCUGAGAGGAUGAUCAGCCACACUGGGACUGAGACACGGCCGAGAAUACUACGCGAGGCAGGAGUGGGGAAUACAGGAAAGUGGGCGAAAGCAUGAUGCAGCAAUGCUGCGUGAGUGAUGAAGGCCUUAGGGUUGUAAAGCUCUUUUACACGGGAUGAUAAUGACAGUACCGGGAGAAUAAGCUCCGGCUAACUCCGUG
rnacentral:rRNA from 1 species